rnacentral:lncRNA from 1 species
UGGUGCAACAACUUUGAUCUUCAUGCUGCUGGGAGCAAGAGCAGUAAUUUCCUUGCUCAUACGAUCUGCAAUACCAGGGAACAUUGUUGAACCACCACUGAGCACUAUGUUUCCAUACAGAUCCUUCCUGAUAUCGACAUCACACUUCAUGAUGGAGUUAUAAGUAGUUUCAUGAAUUCCUGCAGCUUCCAUCCCGAUCAGAGAUGGCUGGAACAGGACUUCUGGGCAACGGAAUCUCUCAGCUCCAAUGGUAAUGACUUGUCCAUCAGGCAAUUCAUAGUUCUUUUCCACAGAGGAGCUACUCUUUGAAGUUUCAAGCUCUUGCUCGUAGUCCAGAGCAACAUAGGCAAGUUUCUCCUUCAUGUCACGGACAAUUUCCCGCUCAGCAGUGGUGGUGAACAUGUAACCUCUCUCUGUUAAGAUCUUCAUGAGAGAAUCAGUAAGAUCACGACCAGCAAGGUCAAGACGGAGAAUGGCAUGGGGAAGGGCAUAUCCUUCAUAGAUGGGUACAGUAUGGCUCACACCGUCACCAGAAUCCAACACAAUACCUAUUGCAUAAAAAACAUAUUAAAAUGAAGGUUCAAGAAAUUAUAUCAAAUAGCAGAAGAUAGUUGCUCUUAGGGACAAAUACGAACCAGUAGUACGCCCACUGGCAUAUAGCGAAAGAACAGCCUGGAUAGCAACAUACAUUGCAGGAACAUUAAAGGUCUCAAACAUGAUCUGUGUCAUCUUCUCCCUGUUGGCCUUAGGAUUGAGAGGUGCCUCAGUUAAAAGAACAGGGUGCUCCUCAGGGGCAACACGGAGCUCAUUGUAAAAAG